UCCUUUAGAGAUAGAGGAGUGCUCGAAAGAGAGCCGUAACACAGGUGCUGCAUGGCUGUCGUCAGCUCGUGUCGUGAGAUGUUGGGUUAAGUCCCGCAACGAGCGCAACCCUUGUCAUUAGUUGCUACAUUCAGUUGGGCACUCUAAUGAGACUGCCGGUGACAAACCGGAGGAAGGUGGGGAUGACGUCAAGUCCUCAUGGCCCUUAUAGGUGGGGCUACACACGUCAUAUAAUGGCUGGUACAAAGGGUUGCCAACCCGCGAGGGGGAGCUAAUCCCACAAAGCCAGUCGUAGUCCGGAUCGUAGUCUGCAACUCGACUACGUGAAGUCGGAAUCGCUAGUAAUCGUGGAUCAGAAUGUCACGGUGAAUACGUUCCCGGGUCUU
rnacentral:rRNA from 1 species